GUUUCGCUCAAAUGCUCUAUCUAUAUCACCUUAUGUGAAGGACAUCUAUUGAUGGAGGGGGAGAAGAGCCAGUAUGCACGGUUGAUGGAGUCUCUCAGGGAAAGGAGACAACUGAUCGCAGAGGAGCUCCAGGUCAUCUGUGAGCAUCAACUACAGGAUCAUGAAGGGAUGGACACUGAGUACGUGGAUAGCCAGCUACUGAGUGAAGAGGAUGUGGAAGAAGAGGAGGAGAGUGAUCUCCCAUCAUCCUCAGCUGGAUGGAGGGGGAGAAGAGCCAGUAUGCACGGUUGAUGGUCUCUCAGGGAAAGGAGACAACUGACUGCUGAGGAGCUCCAGGUCAUCAACUACAGGAUCAUGCAGGGAUGGACAUGGAGGAGUACUUGGAUAGCCAGCUACUGAGUGAAGAAGAUGUGGAAGAAGAGGAGGAGGAGGGGAGUGAUCUCCCAUCAUCCUCAGCUGAGUAACAAUGUUUUUGUUUGUGUGUGCGCACGCGCUGGCGCAACUGCGCAUGUGCACAAUUUUUAUCGUUACAAGAGCAUUACUUGUUAUAAUAAUGACAGGAAUAGUGGUAAUAGUUUCAUUACAUUUAUAUUUACAUUUCUACUAAUUAACAUUCUUAUGACAAUCUAUUUUGGGUUUGGUUAGCCAUUCCCUGACAGGCCCAUGUCAGGUAGAAAGCGUAGACGCUUGUUACAGUGUUGUCUUCUUACUCUUGUAGUUCUAGUACUGCUUGUUUGUAAAUGUUUAAGUGUUAUACCUGGGUUCUUAAAGAUUUAAUAUAAUUUAUCCAUUUUAAAA